rnacentral:rRNA from 1 species
UGAGUACGAGAUGCUACGGUAUCGAAGCAGUCUAUGUCAUACUUCCAAGAAAAGCUUGCAAUGUCAUAAACAAAUAAUGCCUGUACCAUAACCGACACAGGUGGGUAGGUAGAGUAUACUAAGGGGCGCGAGAUAACUCUCUCUAAGGAACUCGGCAAAAUGACUCCGUAACUUCGGGAGAAGGAGUGCCUUAUUUUUAUAAGGUUGCAAUAACAAGAUCCAAGCAACUGUUUACCAAAAACACAGGUCUCCGCUAAGUCGUAAGACGAUGUAUGGGGGCUGACGCCUGCCCAGUGCCAGAAGGUUAAAGAAGUUGGUUAGCAUUAGCGAAGCUGAUAACUGAAGCCCUGGUGAACGGCGGCCGUAACUAUAACGGUCCUAAGGUAGCGAAAUUCCUUGUCGGGUAAGUUCCGACCCGCACGAAAGGCGUAAUGAUUUGGAUACUGUCUCGGAGAGGGGCUCGGUGAAAUAGACUUGUCUGUGAAGAUGCGGACUACCUGCACCUGGACAGAAAGACCCUAUGAAGCUUUACUGUAACUUGAGAUUGAAAUUGGACUUUAUCUGCGCAGUAUAGGUGGGAGACGUUGAAAAUAUUCUUGCGGGAAUAUUGGAGUCAUCAGUGAGAUACCACUCUUAUAAUGUUAGAUUUCUAACUUUGUAUCAUUAUCUGGUCAAAGAACAGUUUCAGGCGGGCAGUUUGACUGGGGCGGUCGCCUCCCAAACGGUAACGGAGGCGCACAAAGGUUUCCUCUGAACGUGUAGAAAUCGUAUCUAGAGUGUAAAGGCAUAAGGAAGCUUGACUGUGAGGCCUACAAGUCGAGCAGGGACGAAAGUCGGUCUUAGUGAUCUGACGGUGCUGAGUGGAAAGGCCGUCACUCAACGGAUAAAAGUUACUCUAGGAUAACAGGCUGAUCUCCCCCAAGAGUUCACAUCGACGGGGAGGUUUGGCACCUCGAUGUCGGCUCAUCGCAUCCUGGGGCGGUAGUACGUCCCAAGGGUUGGGCUGUUCGCCCAUGAAAGCGGUACGCGAGCUGGGUUCAGAACGUCGUGAGACAGUUCGGUCCAUAUCCGGUGUAGGCGUUAGAAUAUUGAGAGGAGCCUUCUUUAGUACGAGAGGACCGAGAAGGACAUACCUCUGGUGUACCAGUUAUCGUGCCAACGGUAAACGCUGGGUAGCCAUGUUUGGAGAGGAUAACCGCUGAAAGCAUCUAAGUGGGAAGCCCACCUCAAGAUAAG